GUAUUGUUUUUAACACUUGAUUGGAAGCCGCCCAGAGUGGCUGGGGAAACUCAGCCAGAUGAGUGGGGUAUAAAUAAUAAAUUAUUACUAUUAUUAUUAUUAUUAUUAUUAUAUAACAAUUUUAUUAUUUGUACACCACCAAUCUGACUGGGUUGCCCCAGCCACUCUGGACAGCUUCCAAAAUAUAUUAAGACAUAAUA